UGGCGAGGAUUAAUGACACGAUCAGA
rnacentral:piRNA from 1 species